GUGUCGAUGGCAAAGUUGGUUAUCGCAUCUGGCUUACAGAUCCUCGGUCCGAAUCUGGGUCGACUCA